rnacentral:rRNA from 2 species
UAACCCGCACCACUUAUCGUGGUGGGAGACAGUGUCAGGCGGGCAGUUUGACUGGGGCGGUCGCCUCCUAAAAGGUAACGGAGGCGCUCAAAGGUUCCCUCAGAAUGGUUGGAAAUCAUUCAUAGAGGGUAAAGGCAUAAGGGAGCUUGACUGCGAGACCUACAAGUCGAGCAGGGUCGAAAGACGGACUUAGUGAUCCGGUGGUUCCGCAUGGAAGGGCCAUCGCUCAACGGAUAAAAGCUACCCCGGGGAUAACAGGCUUAUCUCCCCCAAGAGUUCACAUCGACGGGGAGGUUUGGCACCU